GGUGAUAUGAACCGUUAUAACCGGCGAUGUCCGAAUGGGGAAACCCAGUGUGAUUCGUCACACUAUCGUUAACUGAAUACAUAGGUUAACGAGGCGAACCGGGGGAACUGAAACAUCUAAGUACCCCGAGGAAAAGAAAUCAACCGAGAUUCCCCCAGUAGCGGCGAGCGAACGGGGAGCAGCCCAGAGUCUGAAUCAGCUUGUGUGUUAGUGGAACGGUCUGGAAAGUCCGACGGUACAGGGUGAUAGUCCCGUACACCAAAAUGCACAGGCUGUGAACUCGAAGAGUAGGGCGGGACACGUGGUA
rnacentral:rRNA from 1 species